rnacentral:rRNA from 1 species
AGCAGCCGCGGUAAUUCCAGCUCCAAUAGCGUAUAUUAAAGUUGUUGCAGUUAAAAAGCUCGUAGUUGAAUUUCGGGGUCAGUAGGUUGGUCGUGCCACUGGUAUGCACUGGUCUCACUGAUUCCUCCUUCCUGAUGAACCGUAAUGCCAUUAAUUUGGUGUUGCGGGGAGUCUGGACUGUUACUUUGAAAAAAUUAGAGUGUUUAAAGCAGGCUAACGCUUGAAUACAUUAGCAUGGAAUAAUGAAAUAGGACGAUCGAUCCUAUUUUGUUGGUUUCUAGGAUUGACGUAAUGAUUAAUAGGGAUAGUUGGGGGCAUUAGUAUCCAAUUGUCAGAGGUGAAAUUCUUGGAUUUAUUGAAGACUAACUACUGCGAAAGCAUUUGCCAAGGAUGUUUUCAUUAAUCAAGAACGAAAGUUAGGGGAUCGAAGACGAUCAGAUAUCGUCGUAGUCUUAACCAUAAACUAUGCCGACUAGGGAUCGGAUGAUGUUAUCUUAAUGA